AUGACAUGCUCUAUUUGCAAGUCCAGUUCACAUAACAGAAGAGGAUGCCCUUUAAGACCACCAACAUCAGCAACUGCACCAGCAUCAACAUCAGCCCCUUCCAGAAGAAGAUACUCAAUGCCACCAGCAGAAGCAAGAAGAAGGCCAAGAGGAAAAGCACCAGCAGCACCAGCAAAGCCAAGAGGAAAAGCACCACCAGCAGCAGCAGCAAAGCCAAGAAGAAAAGCACCGACGGCAGUAGCUGCACCAAAGCCAAGAGGAAAAGCAGCAGCAAAGGCAACAGCAAAUAAAGCAUCAACUAGAGCACCAGAUGCAGCAACUGCACCAGCAGCAGCAGCAAAGGCAAGAGGAAAAACAGCAGUAGUACCAACAAAAACUGCACCAACUGCAAUCCCUUCCAAGAGGAAAUGCGCAAAACCACCUGUCCCUCUAAGGCCUAAAGCAACUACAAAGGUUAAUUCUUCCCAGCAAUCAUCAACUGGAAGUACAAGAAAGAGUGGUGUUCUUGACAAUCAAGAAGCAUGUACAAGCAUGGAAGGGAGCAGGAGUAAGUAAAGAGGCCAAGAGUUGUUGGACAAGGUAUUUUUGUGUCUGAGUCUGGAUAUAGUUGUGUUAAUCAAGGGAUGCCUAGCAGCAGGUUGAUAUCCACACCUAGGAUGAUGAAUUCAGCCAUUGUCACAGGUGAAAUUGGAUACAAACCCAGCAAGGGCUUGAAGUGGAGAGGAAAUGUAGCAGUUACACAAAGACAACUCCAAGAGAAAAGUGCUAUGCAUAGAGUCCAAAUAAGAUCAAAGGCUCUUGGAGUUCAAACAAGGUCAAAAGAUGGAAAAUCCAAUGAAGAAGAAGUCUUAGAUUUCUAUGUUUAAGGGUAUUUAUUUUUGGUGAAACUUGGGUAUGUAAGCAAACAAUGUAGCUUGGUAGUUUUGGUCGACAAUUGGAAACAAUGUUCAAUUAUUUUGCAUAUGACAAUGAUGACUGAUGUCCCUUAAUUUACAUAUGACAAUGUCCAGAUUUGCUUAAUGGUACUUGGUGUGUUUUUAACAUAUUUUGCAUUGAAUGGUAUUUUGGA